GACGAACGCUGGCGGCGUGCUUAAUACAUGCAAGUCGAACGGAAAGGCCCUGAUUUUGCGGGGUGGUCGAGUGGCGAACGGGUGAGUAACACGCGAGUAACCUGUCCUUGACUUUGGGGUAACUUCAGGAAACUGGGGCUAAUACCGGAUAGGAGCUCCUGAUGCAUGGUGGGGGUUGGAAAGUUUCGGUGGUUGGGGAUGGACUCGCGGCUUAUCAGCUGGUUGGUGGGGUAGUGGCUUACCACGGCUUUGACGGGUAGCCGGCCUGAGAGGGUGACCGGCCACAUUGGGCCUGCGAUACGGCCCAGACUCCUACGGGACGCAGCAGUGGAGAAUAUUGCACAAUGGGCGGAAGCCUGAUGCAGCAACGCCGCGUGCGGGAUGACGGUCUUCGGGUUGUAAACCGCUUUCGCCUGUGACGAAGCGUGAGUGACGGUAAUGGGUAAAGAAGCACCGGCUAACUACGUG
rnacentral:rRNA from 1 species